rnacentral:misc_RNA from 1 species
AUUCAAUAAUCAUUGUGAGUGUAAAGAACCAAGAAUGGCAAAGUUUUCAAUAUCUGGAGAAGAUUUAGAUGAAAUUGGCGAAUUGGACGGCCGUAACAAGUCAAAAAGUCGUUUCAAAGUGGAACAAGUAACAGAAAUAAGCGCCGAAGAACGUCGAAACUCUUUUUCUGAAAGAAUGCUUAGCCAUGCGGCAAAGAGGGUACAUGUUUUUCAUAUUAAAAUGUUUCUUUAGAUUGCUAUAAUAAUAAGUUUCUGUAGAGCAAAUUUAUGAAAAUGGAGAUUAAUAUAUAUUUUAAGAACAAUGGAUUUAUUACGCCUGAAAAUUCUUGUUUUAUUUACAGAGACUAUUUACUUUUUUAUUAUAUAUUAUGCAGACCCGUAGAUGGUAAGAGAAAUGAUAAAAAUUAUGACAUAAAGCAAAUAUGUAUAAAUAUGAUUAUCAGGUUCAACGGUACCAACAUAAAUGAUUAAUCAAUGUAAUUUUCAUUCAUUCAGAGUCAAGUUAUUUUUUGACAGAAACUUAUUAUUUAUAUUCGAUUUUAUAUUUAUUAAUUUUAUAAUUUAUUGCUAUGCAUAGGUUAUAUUGAGUCAAAAUAGGCCUAGGAGAAUCUCUACUAGCUCCUCUAGUCCUCCUAUGUCACCAAGCUUGAAUAUGGAUUCGUAUGAUACUGGUCAUAUAAGAUCGGCUAAUUUAAAUACUUUAGAGACUUUACCACACGUGGACCAUUAUCGAAAUUUAUUAUCUGCCGGUAAUUUUAACAUGAAGAAACGGCCUACUCUUCUCGAAUUGCACGAAAUGCAAGAGGAUUAUGAGGGGGAUAUUGAAGGCGCUUUAUCAGACGAGAAGCAGAUGCAGAUAAAAGCACUUAAUGGGGAGGCGGUGGCAACUGGCGGAAAGCACGAUCCUAAACCACUAAAAUUUGGUUGGAUUAAAGGGGUUCUAAUAAGAUGCCUUUUGAAUAUAUGGGGUGUAAUGCUGUUCCUUCGUCUCUCUUGGGUUGUCGGUCAAGCAGGUAUCGGCCUAAGCGUGUUAGUUGUCUGCCUCUCCUGCGUCGUAACCAUAUUGACAACAUUAUCUAUGUCAGCAAUAUGUACAAAUGGCCAAGUGAAAGGUGGUGGAGCAUAUUAUUUAAUAUCGAGAUCUUUAGGGCCCGAAUUCGGGGGUGCUAUCGGUUUAAUUUUUUCCGUUGCAAAUGCCGUCGCUGUUGCAAUGUAUAUUGUGGGGUUUGCCGAAACCAUACGUGAUAUGCUAAAAGAUAAUGAUGCCUUGAUGAUAGAUGAAAUAAACGACGUACGGAUUAUAGGCUUAAUUACUGUCUGUUUUCUACUUGCUAUUGCGCUAAUUGGCAUGGAAUGGGAAGCCAGAGCUCAAGUUGUUCUCUUAGCUAUUUUAUUGGUAGCGAUGAUAAACAUAAUCAUUGGAAGUUUUAUACCGCCAAAUGAUGAUAAACAAGCAAAGGGAUUUUUAGGCUAUUCUUCGGGAGUUAUAAAAGAAAAUUUUAAGCCAGAUUUUAGAAACAAUGAAAAUUUUUUCUCCGUAUUUGCCAUUUUCUUCCCUGCUGCUACUGGAAUAUUAGCAGGAGCUAAUAUUUCUGGUGAUUUAAAAGAUGCUCAAAAAGCCAUUCCAAAAGGUACACUAGUGGCAAUUUUGGUAAGCUCUAUAUCGUACAUUGGAAUGGCAGUGUUAGCUGGUGCUAGCGUCGAAAGAGAUGCUAUAGGAAAUCUGAAUAUAACAGAAAAUUCAACAAAUUAUUGCCAGGAAUUUACCUGUAAAUUUGGCUUACAAAACGAUAUGCAAGCUAUGCGACUGAUUUCUGCAUUUGGUCCCCUCGUUACAGCUGGAAUUUUUGCAGCAACUCUAUCUUCAGCUUUAGCUAGUUUAGUAUCAGCUCCAAAAGUUUUCCAAGCUGUUUGCAAAGAUAAAAUUUUCCCAUACAUCAGUAUUUUUGGUAAAGGUUAUGGAAAAAGUGAUGAACCAAGACUUGGUUAUAUACUUACGUUCUUUAUCGCGGCUGGUUUUAUAGGAAUUGGUCAUUUAAACGCAAUUGCUCCUCUCAUUUCCAAUUUCUUCCUCAUGAGCUAUGCUCUUAUAAAUUACUCGUGUUUUGAUGCGUCCUUCGCAAAAAGUCCUGGAUGGAGACCAGCAUUUAAAUACUAUAACAUGUGGCUAGCUCUUUUCGGAGCAAUAUUAUGCCUGGCUGUAAUGUUUAUCAUUAAUUGGUGGACUGCUCUUAUAACAUUUUUUUUAAACAUAUCUCUAUAUGCUUAUGUUCAUUAUAAAAAGCCAGAUAUUAAUUGGGGUAGCUCAACACAGGCUCACGUUUACAAGAAUGCUUUAAAUUCUACUCUAAAGUUAGUUUCUGUUUCUGAGCAUAUAAAGAAUUAUCGACCUCAAGUUAUUGUGUUGGCAGGUCAUCCCCUUUGUCGGCCAGACUUGGUCAAAUUUGCAGCAACAAUUACGAAAGAUAUUAGUUUAUUUAUCUGUGCAGAUAUAAUUCUUAACGAGAAGAAUUUAACAAUAGACCAUACAAGAGGAGAAUUAGCGUAUAAGUGGUUCUCUAAGAAUAAAAUCAAGGCUUUUUAUAAUUCGAUAAAAUCUAACUCCUUCCAAAAUGGAGUUACCGCAGCUUUGCAAACUUCUGGCUUAGGAAAACUUAAACCAAAUACGCUACUCUUAGGGUUCAAAAGAAAUUGGGUGAAAUCGUCUCAAUUUGAUGUACACGAGUACGUCAGUAUAAUACAUAAUGCCUUUGAUCUACGUUACGGAGUCGGUAUCCUUAGAAUUGACGAAGGUUUUUGUUGCCAGUCAAAUGCUAUCCAUUUUGAAGAAGAAAAUUCUGAUGAUGAGAAAAGUCCACAACUAGAAAAGAAAGAAUUAAAGGAACAGUCCCCCGAAAGUAGAAACAAUCCCAAGCCUGAUUUCCCAUAUCAUUUGCAUACUGAUCGGCGUAUGAGCUGUAGGCCUCUUAUAAAAGCUUCAAAAAAACAUGGUACUAUUGAUGUUUGGUGGCUUUUUGAUGAUGGAGGUUUGACAUUAUUAAUUCCGUAUCUACUAUCUGGCCAUUGGAGAAAUAGUAAAUUAAGAGUGUUUGGAGCGUCUUCGAAAAAAGGAGAAUUGGAUAGAGAUCAAAGAAGUAUGGCUACACUAUUGAGCAAAUUCCGUAUCGAUUGUGCAUCAAUUAAAAUGAUAUCAGAUAUUGGAAGAAAACCGUCAAUUGAUGGUAUUGAUAGAUUUGACGAUUUAGUCGCCCCAUGGAUAUUGGGAAAAGAUGAGUCACCCGUUGAAAACCCCUGGAAAGUAUCUGAAAUAGUUUUAUCAGCGCAAAAAGAUCGAACCUACCGCCAUAUUCGUUUGAGGGAAAUUCUCCAAGAGCAUUCUUGUAACGCAAAUUUAAUAGUAAUGACUUUGCCAAUGCCAAGAAAAAGUAUUGUUCCAUCAGGUCUUUACAUGUGUUGGUUAGAGACGAUAACGAAAGGCAUGCCACCUAUUUUGCUAUUAAGAGGAAAUCAAGAAAGUGUACUAACAUUUUAUUCUUAGAUACUAUUGAAAUGUUGAACUUGAUUUAACACUUUUUGAUUGAAAAUCUUCGUUUUUUAUAUAUUUUUAUAUACUAGGCCAUUUUUGUAUUCUCGCUAUAUUUUAUAUAUAUAUAAUGGUACUAAAAGAAAUUUACUUUUAAAAUGUGUUCAUAGGUCGAAUAAAGACGUUAUACUUGAGUUACUUUAUAACUCUUGUUGUCUACAACAAUCAUCUAUUGAUUUUCUGUUUUCAAAGCUUUGUUCAAAUUAUCGAUUUUGUUAAUUU